rnacentral:lncRNA from 1 species
CAAUUUGUUUUGUUUUAAAAAUGUGUUCACAAAAUUAAAAUUCUUUAUAUAAAUUAGAAAUGUUAUAGGGAAAACAAGAAGCUUUUUUUCAGAUUAGGGUAAAAAAAAAAUGCCACAGCUCUCAGUCUGGGUAAUUCAAAACUAGGUUGACAAUCUGUCAGAACUGAACAGUGAAACUGUCACAUGCACACUUGUCAAAAUAAAUGAAGUAUUUGAUGUUCAAGUUCAGGUGUUAGUUAACCUGUCAACAAAUGGACAAAAGAGAGGAAAGAAGACAGACCUUCAAAGUCUCAGCCAUUGGGUUUUCCGAAGCCCAGACUCCUUCAGAUGGGUGAUGAUAGCAAAUGGUAUCAAAGAAUGAAAACUCAACUAUGCUGGAAUGGACCUGUGCUCAUCAACCAAAUCUCAACAACGUCUAUUCGUCCCUUGGCUUGCAUCAAGCCCGGCACUGUGUGAUAUGCAGAAGAGAUCAUGACGGAAAGAGAAUUUCUGCCCUCAAUGAGCUGACAGUCUAGAGGUGGAUCCAUACAGGUUAGCAAGUGACUGUGGGAGAAGGAUGAAUGCUUACCUAGCCCUGACUGCGAGCUUUGUAUGUUAGUGUUAACGUAUCCAAUUCACACAGCCCCAUAAGAGCACCGAUGCUAGUUUUGCCAUAUAAAAUCCUGCCCUAAACCUAGCAGCUCACCCUAACAAUCACUUGGUUAGCCACAGCUCUGUGGUCUGCCCACUUAGACAGUGCUCAGGUGGGUCGACUCACGCAUCUGUGGUCAGCGAGCAGUGACAUCGUUAACUCACGUGUCAUGCAGUUGGAGUAGUGGGGACAGCUCAACAUCCCCAUUGUAUUGUGGGGGCCCCCCUCAUCAUCCAGCAGACCGGCCCGAACUUCUUCAUUUGGUGAUAUUGCAGAGUUUUUAAGAGCAGCAAUGGAAAGCAGGUGACACCGUACAACACUCCCCAAGCCUCUGCUUGGUACCCAUUUGCUACCAUUGUCUUGUUGGCCAGAGUAGGUCACAAGGCCAGCCCAGAUUCAAGGGGGAAGCAAAAGGUUGCCUUUGAUGGAGGAAAUCAUAAAG